rnacentral:tRNA from 8 species
GCCGGGAUAGCUCAGUUGGUAGAGCAGAGGACUGAAAAUCCUCG